GAUGAACGCUGGCGGCGUGCCUAAUACAUGCAAGUCGAGCGAACAGACGAGGAGCUUGCUCCUCUGACGUUAUCGGCGGACGGGUGAGUAACACGUGGAUAACCUACCUAUAAGACUGGGAUAACUUCGGGAAACCGGAGCUAAUACCGGAUAAUAUAUUGAACCGCAUGGUUCAAUAGUGAAAGACGGUUUUGCUGUCACUUAUAGAUGGAUCCGCGCCGCAUGAGCUAGUUGGUAAGGUAACGGCUUACCAAGGCAACGAUGCGUAGCCGACCUGAGAGGGUGGUCGGACACACGGGAACUGAGACAGGGUCCAGACUCCGACGGGAGGCAGCAGUAGGGAAUCUUCCGCAAUGGGCGAAAGCUUGACGGAGCAACGCCGCGUGAGGGAUGAAGGUCUUCGGAUCGUAAAACUCUGUUAUUAGGGAAGAACAAAUGUGUAAGUAACUAUGCACGUCUUGACGGUACCUAAUCAGAAAGCCACGGCUAACUACGUG
rnacentral:rRNA from 1 species